CGAGCUGGGUUCAGAACGUCGUGAGACAGUUCGGUCCCUAUCCGUCGCGGGCGCAGGAGAUUUGAGAGGAGCUGUCCUUAGUACGAGAGGACCGGGAUGGACUAACCAAUGGUGAACCAGUUGUUCCGCCAGGAGCACGGCUGGGUAGCUAAGUUAGGAAGGGAUAAACGCUGAAGGCAUCUAAGCGUGAAGCCCACCUUAAGAUAAGAUCUCCCAUAGCGUAAGCUAGUAAGACCCCUUGAAGAACACAAGGUUGAUAGGUAAAAGGUGUAAGUAUGGUAACAUAUUUAGCUGAUUUAUACUAAUAGGUCGAGGGCUUGACCAAAAUUAGCAA
rnacentral:rRNA from 1 species